UACGGGUGGGGCAAGCGUUGUUCGGAAUUACUGGGCGUAAAGGGCUCGUAGGCGGCCAACUAAGUCAGACGUGAAAUCCCCAGGCUUAACCUGGGAACUGCGUCUGAUACUGGAUGGCUUGAAUUCGGGAGAGGGAUGCAGAAUUCCAGGUGUAGCGGUGAAAUGCGUAGAUAUCUGGAGGAAUACCGGUGGCGAAGGCGGCAUCCUGGACCGACAUUGACGCUGAGGAGCGAAAGCUAGGGGAGCAAACGGG
rnacentral:rRNA from 1 species